CAGGGGUGGUCCCCGGUGCAGGCUUCAAACCUGUAGAUCACGGGAGUGAUAGCAGUUCGAUUCUGCCU
rnacentral:tRNA from 1 species